rnacentral:rRNA from 1 species
UACGUAGGGUGCAAGCGUUAAUCGGAAUUACUGGGCGUAAAGCGUGCGCAGGCGGUUGUGUAAGACAGAUGUGAAAUCCCCGGGCUCAACCUGGGAACUGCAUUUGUGACUGCACAGCUGGAGUGCGGCAGAGGGGGGUGGAAUUCCGCGUGUAGCAGUGAAAUGCGUAGAUAUGCGGAGGAACACCGAUGGCGAAGGCAAUCCCCUGGGCCUGCACUGACGCUCAUGCACGAAAGCGUGGGGAGCAAACAGG